rnacentral:rRNA from 1 species
AUUGAACGCUGGCGGCAGGCUUAACACAUGCAAGUCGAGCGGGGGAAGGUAGCUUGCUACCGGACCUAGCGGCGGACGGGUGAGUAAUGCUUAGGAAUCUGCCUAUUAGUGGGGGACAACAUCUCGAAAGGGAUGCUAAUACCGCAUACGUCCUACGGGAGAAAGCAGGGGAUCUUCGGACCUUGCGCUAAUAGAUGUGCCUAAGUCGGAUUAGCUAGUUGGUGGGGUAAAGGCCUACCAAGGCGACGAUCUGUAGCGGGUCUGAGAGGAUGAUCCGCCACACGGGGACUGAGACACGGCCCAGACUCCUACGGGAGGCAGCAGUGGGGAAUAUUGGACAAUGGGGGGAACCCUGAUCCAGCCAUGCCGCGUGUGUGAAGAAGGCCUUAUGGUUGUAAAGCACUUUAAGCGAGGAGGAGGCUACCCUAGUUAAUACCUAGGGAUAGUGGACGUUACUCGCAGAAUAAGCACCGGCUAACUCUGUGCCAGCCGCCGCAGUAA